UACGAGGGGGCAAGCGUUGUUCGGAAUUAUUGGGCGUAAAGGGUCCUGAGGUGGCUAGCCAAGUCUAUUGUGAAAUAUCAGGGCUUAACCCUGAACAUGCGGUGGAAACUAGAAAGCUUGAGUACAGUAGGGGCGGAGGGAAUUUCCGGUGGAGCGGUGAAAUGCAUAGAUAUGGGAAGAACACCAACGGCGAAAGCACUCCGCUGGCUGAUACUGACACUGACAGACGAAAGCUAGGGUAGCGAAAGGG
rnacentral:rRNA from 1 species